rnacentral:rRNA from 1 species
AAUGAACGCUGGCGGCGUGUCUUAAGCAUGCAAGUCGUGCGGCAAGGGUAGCAAUACCCCUAGAGCGGCGGACUGGUGAGUAACGCGUGGGUGAUCUGCCCUUGGGUUGGGGGUAGCCAUUAGAAAUAGUGGGUAAUACCGAAUACGAUGGCGAGACUGUGGUCUUGUCAUGAAAGGCGCUUCGGCGCCACCCGAGGAUGAGCCCGCGUCUCAUUAGCUAGUUGGUGAGGUAACGGCCCACCAAUGCGAUGAUGGGUAGGCGGCCUGAGAGGGUCGACGCCUACACUGAGACUGAGACAAGGACCAGACUCAUGCGGGAGGCAGCGAGUAAGAAUAUUCCGCAAUGGACGAAAGUAUGACGGAGCGACGCCGAGUGGAUACAGAAGGCCGAAAGGUUUGAAAAUCCUUUUGUUGGGGAAGAAUAAGGCUGGGAGGGAAUGCCGGGCUGAAGACAUGAACCGACGAAUAAGUCCCGGCUAACUACGUGCCAGCCGCCGCCGUAA